UUCUCACAGCCGUCGCACCAUUCCUCCCUUCCGCCCCCUCCUUCCCGGAUCCCCACCACGGCACCGACCUGCAGGCAAAGGGCGACAGCGGCGGCGCUCUAGGAGAGAGAAGAUGAGAGGGAGAGAGAGGAGGGAGAAAGAGAGGAAGAGGAGAGGAGGCACGACGUCAGAUGGGAGAGUGGCCAACCCGGCUCGCGUCGGCUGGGGCCGCACCCCUCCCCGAAGGGCGUCGAUGAUGGAGGGAUCUACCAGCGCCAUCCAGGCUCUCGGCCGACGGACUCGCUGGGUCGCCGCCCCUCCCGUGCGGUGGGGACAUCCACGACGGCGCGGGCGGGGACCGAGCGGCGGGGCCCGUGAUGCGUUCCGGUCAAGGGAUUGGUCGGGCCGGCGCGGGAUCUUAGCCGCCGUCGAUGGAUUUCUCGCAGCUUGGCUACCUGUUGCUUUGGAUCCGGCGAGCUCUCGUUGCCGGAUCACUGGCCAAUCGUCGGGUUGGCGGCCACGUCAGUUCCGCACCGCUGCCAGCGACCGCUGUUCUGUUGCCUUGGAUUCGGGUGUGGCGUUGGCUGGGAACCGUAUGGUGUUUUUCUGACGUGCCAUCCGCAUUGUGGGGGUUUGGUCGGUUGACUCCAGGUUUAGCAGCGGGCAAUGCUCAAGACAGAGUUGGGCGCACAUCAUAUAUAUACAUAUGUUGUCGUGUCUUAAUAAAUGGAGAUGAGCAGAAGUAGAGAUGAAAUAGGCCGUUCUGUUGCUUCUGUGACCGGCGAGUGUUCAUUGCAUGCCUGUGUGUCGUUGUGCUCUGAUCGGUUGUUUUUUGUGUAUUUUCGCAGGUUGCACGAUCUCUGAUGUAGCUGUGUCGUUCGACUCAUCAACAUAUACCACGAAGGGAAGAUCUGCCUCACUGUGCACUUCAGGGGCGCAUACACUAGCGAUGGUACAGGAUUGGCUUCCUGGUGGAAUCAGGUGCGCAUCGUCCAUGGUGUCCUGUCGUGGGUGUUGGUGGGCGGCUGGAGGCGGCUGUAGCAGGCUCUAGAAUCGCUAAGGUUGCUCCUUCUCUAUUCCUUUGGUCAAGCACAGAGGAAUGAGGAAUGGAUAUAGGAGGCAUGGUGCGUAGGGGUCAGCCAGGGCACGACGCAGGAGUCUGCCCAUAUCCUCUCAAAGACCUAGUAUGAUGCAUAUUUGAAAGAGUGCAUCUAUUGUUUCUGCUGAAAAUUGAUCUCUAUUUGAAGGAGUGCAUCUAUUGUGCAUCUACGCCAGAAGACAGUGUGCUGUUUUUUAUUCCAUGCUCCAAAUAUUUCAUGUCCGAUUCAUAGACAUCCUUCAAUUGCUUAAUGAUGAUGGCAUGUUUGAUGUUCAUAUUUUUGUCAGCCAAAUAAUAAUAGGUGCACUUGAUUGUUUGAGGAAAUGCCAACUAAAGCUACAUUCAGUUAGAAUUAGAUUUUUGCACGUGUGUUCUUGAUGCUUCAUGUACGACCAGUUCUCUCGAAUAAUGAGUUACUCCCUCAAUUUUACAAUA